UACGUAGGAGGCAAGCGUUGUCCGGAAUUACUGGGCGUAAAGCGCGUGUAGGUGGUGGGACAAGUCUGCUGUGAAAGCGCCUGGCUUAACCGGGCGAGGUCGGCGGAAACUGCAGAGCUUGAGUACUUAAGAGGAUCGCGGAAUUCCCGGUGUAGAGGUGAAAUGCGCAGAUAUCAGGAGGAACACCGGUGGCGAAGGCGGCGACCUGGUCCUUGACUGACGCUGAGGCGCGAAAGCGUGGGGAGCAAACAGG
rnacentral:rRNA from 1 species